CUUUGUACAACUGCAAAUGAAAGACAAACAAAGGACUAAGCAUGUAGAAGUUAUGAUGGAUUAAGGUUUGGACAGGGGUUCGACUCCCCUCUAUUCCACCA
rnacentral:tmRNA from 1 species